UACGUAGGGGGCAAGCGUUGUCCGGAAUUAUUGGGCGUAAAGAGCGCGUAGGCGGUCCGAUAAGUCGACUGUGAAAGUCUAGGGCUCAACCCUGGAAAGCCGGUCGAUACUGUCGGACUAGAGUCCGGAAGAGGCAAGUGGAAUUCCCGGUGUAGAGGUGAAAUUCGUAGAUAUCGGGAGGAACACCAGUGGCGAAGGCGGCGAUCUGGGAAGAUACUGACGCUGAGGUGCGAAAGCGUGGGGAGCAAACAGG
rnacentral:rRNA from 1 species